rnacentral:ncRNA from 1 species
GAAAAGCCGAUGAUGGAGAAAAGUAGUUAAGAGUACACAUGGCCAGAGAGGAAAUGCCGUAGGCUGUAAGCAUUUCUCCAUGAUGACUUAACGAACGAACACUCCGUAGGUUUCUCUUUGAACGCUGUGGCUAGUAGAAGGGAACGCGCACCUGGCGUUAUCAGGACAAAGUGGAAGCAGUUGCUUCAAUUAGGGUGGCACCACGGGGUAUACUCUCGUCCCUAUG